GACGAACGCUGGCGGCGUGCCUAAUACAUGCAAGUAGAACGCUGAAGAGAGGAGCUUGCUCUUCUUGGAUGAGUUGCGAACGGGUGAGUAACGCGUAGGUAACCUGCCUUGUAGCGGUGGAUAACUAUUGGAAACGAUAGCUAAUACCGCAUAACAAUGGAUGCCACAUGUCAUUUAUUUGAAAGGGGCAAUUGCUCCACUACAAGAUGGACCUGCGUUGUAUUAGCUAGUAGGUGAGGUAAUGGCGCACCUAGGCGACGAUACAUAGCCGACCUGAGAGGGUGAUCGGCCACACUGGGACUGAGACACGGCCCAGACUCCUACGGGGAGCAGCAGUAGGGGAUCUUCGGCAAUGGGGGCAAACCUGACCGAGCAACGCCGCGUGAGUGAAGAAGGUUUUCGGAUCGGAAAGCUCUGUUGUAAGUGAAGAACGGGUGUGAGAGUGGAAAGUUCACACUGUGACGGUAGCUUAACAGAAAGAGACGGCUAACUACGUG
rnacentral:rRNA from 1 species